GUAAGACUAGUUUAAACAAAAUAAAUGACUUCGGCUCAUUAGCUCUCAUAACUGAGGCUUACC
rnacentral:tRNA from 1 species